rnacentral:rRNA from 1 species
AUACGGGGGGGGCGAGCGUUAUUCGGAAUUAUUGGGCGUAAAGGGCGCGUAGGCGGCCUGUCAAGUCAAAGGUGAAAUCCCUCGGCUCAACCGAGGAACUGCCUUUGAUACUGUCAGGCUUGAGGCCGGGAGGGGGUGGCGGAAUUCCCAGUGUAGCGGUGAAAUGCGUAGAUAUUGGGAGGAACACCGGUGGCGAAGGCGGCCACCUGGACCGGUUCUGACGCUGAAGUGCGAAAGCGUGGGGAGCAAACAGGAUUAGAAACCCCGGUAGUCC